UACAACUGUUAGAACGAGAGAGUAGAAUGAAGAAGUAACGCUCGGAAAUGCUCCCUUUAAUACUCCGACAGGCGAAAGUAAUUCACAGUUGAAUGAAAGGGUCUGAAGCUCGGUGAAGACAGCUAAAAUAUGCCGUAAAUUAAGUAAUAAACGAAAAAUCAUCUAGUCCGUGGUUGCAUAUGAUAGGCUGGAAGUCUAUAAA
rfam:Epulopiscium sp. SCG-B11WGA-EpuloA1 SCGB11WGA_107, whole genome shotgun sequence.